UCACUAUUUGAAUGAGGGGUUCAAUAGGAGCCCAAACCCCAGCAUCAUGUAAUGUAUUCAUGUAACAAACCUGCACAUGUACCUCCUAAAUCUAAAAUUUUUAAAGCUAAAAGCAGAAAC